CAAGUGACUAAGUGCACAUGGUGGAUGCCUUGGCGAUUACAGGCGAUGAAGGACGCAGUAGCUUGCGAUAAGCUGCGGGGAGCUGGCAAACGAGCUUUGAUCCGCAGAUGUCCGAAUGGGGAAACCCGGCCCGCAAGGGUCAUCGCAUACUGAAUACAUAGGUAUGCGAAGCGAACGCGGCGAACUGAAACAUCUAAGUAGCUGCAGGAAAAGAAAUCAACCGAGAUUCCCAAAGUAGUGGCGAGCGAAAUGGGAUCAGCCUGCAAGAUUUAGCAGUCGUGAUAGCGGAAUGCUCUGGAAGGUGCGGCCGUAGCGGAUGAUAGCCCCGUACACGAAAUCAUGGUUGUGGAACUAGGCUUGCGACAAGUAGGGCGGGACACGUGAAAUCCUGUCUGAACAUGGGGGGACCAUCCUCCAAGGCUAAAUACUCGUAAUCGACCGAUAGUGAACCAGUACCGUG
rnacentral:rRNA from 1 species